rnacentral:rRNA from 1 species
AUUGAACGCUGGCGGCAGGCCUAACACAUGCAAGUCGAGCGAGCGGCGGACGGGUGAGUAAUGUCUGGGAACCUGCCUGUUGGAGGGGGAUAACAACUGGAAAAGGUAGCUAAUCCCGCAUACCAUCAGCUGUGCCCAGAUGGUAUUAGUUAGUCGGUGGGGUAACGGCUAACCAUGGCGACGAUCCCCAGCUGGUCUGCGAGGAUGACCAGCCACACGGGAACUGAUACACGGUCCAGAUUCCUACGGGAGGAAGCAGUGGGGAAGAUUGCACAAUGGGCGUAAGCCUGAUGCAGCCAUGACGCGUGUGUGAAGAAGGCCUUCGGGUUGUAAAGCACUUUCAGCGGGGAGGCGUUACCCGCAGAAGAAGCAACGGCUAAAUACGUGCCAGCAGCCGCGGUAAUUC